rnacentral:rRNA from 1 species
CAAUAGCGUAUUCAAAUGUUGUUGCAGUUAAAAAGCUCGUAGUUGGAUAUCAGAACUCGUGGAAUUGGCCCGUCGCCUUUGUGUGAUUGAGUGCUAGUGAAGCGGUUCUUUCUUUUCCGAGAAGGUGCUCUCCCUUUAAUUAGUGGUGGAGUUUUCCAACUUGGAUCUGUUACCUUGAAUAAAAUUAGAGUGUUCAAAGCAAGCUUACGCUGUGAAUAUUUUAGCAUGGAAUAACGACAUAGGACUUUGUGUCUAUUUCGUUGGUUUCUAGACUCGAAGUAAUGAUUGAUAGGGACAGUUGGGGGUGCUGGUAUUAUAUGGCCAGAGGUGAAAUUCUCAGAUUCAUGUAAAGACCAAACUCAUGCGAAAAGCAAUUCACCAAAGGAUGUCUUCUUUAAAUCAAAG